rnacentral:rRNA from 1 species
UACAGAGGUCCCAAGCGUUGUUCGGAUUCAUUGGGCGUAAAGGGUGCGUAGGUGGCGCCGUAAGUCGGGUGUGAAAUUUCGGAGCUUAACUCCGAAACUGCAUUCGAUACUGCGGUGCUUGAGGACUGGAGAGGAGACUGGAAUUCCUGGUGUAGCGGUGAAAUGCGCAGAUAUCAGGAGGAACACCGGUGGCGAAGGCGCUGCUCUGGGCCGGUACUGACGCUGAGGAGCGAAAGCGUGGGUAGCAAACAGG